GAUGGUAGUGUAUUGGACUACCAUGGCAUUUACGGGUAACGGGGAAUUAGGGUUCGAUUCCGGAGAGGGAGCCUGAGAAACGGCUACCACUUCUAAGGAAGGCAGCAGGCGCGUAAAUUACCCAAUCCUGACUCAGGGAGGUAGUGACAAGAAAUAACAACUCGGGGCCUCACGGCUUACGAGAUUGCAAUGAGAACAAUCCAAACCACUUAUCGAGGAACAAUUGGAGGGCAAGUCUGGUGCCAGCAGCCGCGGUAAUA
rnacentral:rRNA from 1 species